UGACCUCUUGUCCAAACUCCUGAGAGGCUACAAGUUCAGGCAACUUCCCAAAAAUCCAGGCAUGGAGUUCUGUCCCGCUGUGUGCAUACAUACAACUAUUUUCGUGGCAUUUUGUGGUACUCCUAGAGGGAGUUUUGAGCAGGACCUCCCUGGAACACAGGCCUCCACCUCCCGGAACAAAACAUGAACACUCCGUGUACACGCCACAGCAAAAUUGAGCUGACAGAAACCUUCGCUUACCACCCUUUGUCUUCUCUUAACACAAGGCAACUGACAAAGCUGUAAACGCUCAAAAGGGGCUACGAAUGCUGCUCCACGCAUGCGUUAGCGGACACGUGUCUCGUCUGCUAAAUUCUGUGUUUGCCGACACACGGCGGAACGGCAGCGAAAAGCUUCCUUCGUCCCUGGGUGGGCUCGAACCACCAACCUUUCGGUUAACAGCCGAACGCGCUAGCCGAUUGCGCCACAGAGACUGACGGUGGCACCUCCACUGGGUUGCGGUGACAAAAAAAAAAUCUACGCUGAGCGCACCACGAAGCUCAGACGCAACAUGUGUCCCGCGUCAGCAAACUGAAGUCAAGAGACUGAGACCCGUUGGGAAGGGCGAGGGAGAGCCAAAAGAUACGCCCAACGUGGGGCUCGAACCCACGACCCUGAGAUUAAGAGUCUCAUGCUCUACCGACUGAGCUAGCCGGGCCGCUGCGACGGACUGCCUCGGGCUGGUCGCGGUUCUCAUAAGUGCCCAAAUUUCACGAGCCAAGCGGAGGCUGUUUUUUCACACAGGCUUGAGAAAACCUCUUGCGGGUAAAGCUAGGGUUAAGCCUAACAGUAGGCUUAGAGCAGGGGGGUCCAAACUCAGUCCUGGAGGGUCCUUGUCCUGCCGAGCUUAGCUCCAAGCCCAAUGAAACACACCUGAAGCAGCUAAUCAAGGUCUCUCCAAGCAGACUCUAAACUUCCGGGCAGGUCUGUUGGAGCUGGCUGGAGCAAAACUCGGCCGGACAGUGGCCCUCCAGACAGGGUUUGGACACCCUUGGCUUAGAGUGUCCUUUGUUUGUUUUAGCCAUGCCUGUUGCUGGGGAUCACAGUUUGAACAAGCAGAGCAGGCCGAUAACAUGCACAAUCAAAACCAGGAGUUAAAAUUCCGUUUCAGGAGAGAGCGGUCACUGAAUGCAAACGCUCCUAAUGUCCAAAGGGCAAAAAGUGUGCCAUACAGCAAAAAUUGGAGGACCCAACCUCCAACCGGAAACUGAAAAUACAAAGAUGCUACUAGGAGUGUGACAAAUCGAUUGACCUCUUGUCCAAACUCCUGAGAGGCUACAAGUUCAGGCAACUUCCCAAAAAAAUCCAGGCAUGGAGUUCUGUCCCGCUGUGUGCAUACAUACAACUAUUUCCGUGGCAUUUUGUGGUACUCCUAGAGGAAGUCCAUAUAAUGGGUUCGUGGAAAAAAGCCCAUAUAAAUAAAUUGCCAUUGUACGCAUAGUGACUCGGAGGGAUUGUAGGGUGGAUUUGGAUCCAGUUUGCAAUGUAUUUAACUGGCCAAUGGGACGUCCCAACUUACCCCCUUUUCCCGAGGGAAUUCCGCAGUAAUUGAGGUUUGGACACCCCUAGGGGGCGUUGUUGACCAUCAGAUGAGCCCCCCCACCCCCACCCCCCCUGUCCACGAACCCUAUAAAUGUUCAUCUGCCAUCAUUUUUGCUGGCUAAUAGGGUAAGUCGCUCCCAAAACCCUACAAUUUGUCCUUUCUCCAAAUAAGUGAAUGGUCGGGACCGUCCCUGGGUGGGCUUCGCGUACGAGCGA
ensembl:lncRNA